UACGGAAGGCAGCAGUGGGGAAUAUUGCACAAUGGGCGCAAGCCUGAUGCAGCCAUGCCGCGUGUAUGAAAAAGGCCUUCGGGUUGUAAAGUACUUUCAGUCGUGAGGAAGGUGUUAAGGUUAAUAACCUUAGCAAUUGACGUUAGCGACAGAAGAAGCACCGGCUAACUCCGUGCCAGCAGCCGCGGUAAUACGGAGGGUGCGAGCGUUAAUCGGAAUUACUGGGCGUAAAGGGCACGCAGGCGGUUAAUUAAGUUGGAUGUGAAAUCCCCGGGCUUAACCUGGGAAUGGCAUUCAAGACUGGUUAGCUAGAGUCUUGUAGAGGGGGUAGAAUUCCAUGUGUAGCGGUGAAAUGCGUAGAGAUGUGGAGGAAUACCGGUGGGCGAAGGCGGCCCCUGGGACAAAGGACUGACGCUCAUGUGCGAAAGCGUGGGGAGCGAAAC
rnacentral:rRNA from 1 species